AGUGAACGCUGGCGGUAGGCCUAACACAUGCAAGUCGAACGGCAGCACAGGAGAGCUUGCUCUCUGGGUGGCGAGUGGCGGACGGGUGAGGAAUACAUCGGAAUCUACUCUGUCGUGGGGGAUAACGUAGGGAAACUUACGCUAAUACCGCAUACGACCUACGGGUGAAAGCAGGGGAUCUUCGGACCUUGCGCGAUUGAAUGAGCCGAUGUCGGAUUAGCUAGUUGGCGGGGUAAAGGCCCACCAAGGCGACGAUCCGUAGCUGGUCUGGGAGGAUGAUCGGCAACACUGGAACUGAGACACGGUCCAGACUCCUACGGGAGGCAGCAGUGGGGAAUAUUGGACAAUGGGCGCAAGCCUGAUCCAGCCAUACCGCGUGGGUGAAGAAGGCCUUCGGGUUGUAAAGCCCUUUUGUUGGGAAAGAAAUCCAGCUGGCUAAUACCCGGUUGGGAUGACGGUACCCAAAGAAUAAGCACCGGCUAACUUCGUGCCAGCCGCCGCCGUAA
rnacentral:rRNA from 1 species